rnacentral:rRNA from 1 species
CCUACGGGCGGCAGCAGUGGGGAAUAUUGGACAAUGGGCGAAAGCCUGAUCCAGCCAUGCCGCGUGUGUGAAGAAGGCCUUCGGGUUGUAAAGCACUUUCAGUGGGGAAGAAAGCCUUGGGGCUAAUACCCUCGAGGAAGGACAUCACCCACAGAAGAAGCACCGGCUAACUCCGUGCCAGCAGCCGCGGUAAUACGGAGGGUGCGAGCGUUAAUCGGAAUUACUGGGCGUAAAGCGCGCGUAGGCGGUCUGAUAAGCCGGUUGGGAAAGCCCCGGGCUCAACCUGGGAACGGCAUCCGGAACUGUCAGGCUAGAGUGCAGGAGAGGAAGGUAGAAUUCCCGGUGUAGCGGUGAAAUGCGUAGAGAUCGGGAGGAAUACCAGUGGCGAAGGCGGCCUUCUGGACUGACACUGACGCUGAGGUGCGAAAGCGUGGGUAGCAAACAGGAUUAGAUACCCGGGUAGUC